UCCUGCGCAACGUUAAUCGACGCAGGGUUAGUCGGUCCCUAAGGCGAGGCUGAAAAGCGUAGUCGAUGGAAAACAGGUUAAUAUUCCUGUACUUCCGGUUAUUGCGAUGGAGGGACGGAGAAGGCUAGGCCAGCUUGGCGUUGGUUGUCCAAGUUUAAGGUGGUAGGCCGAACACUUAGGCAAAUCCGGGUGUUCAAGGCCGAGAGCUGAUGACGAGCGUUCUUUAGAAUGCGAAGUGGUCGAUGCCAUGCUUCCAGGAAAAGCUUCUAAGCUUCAGAUAACCGGGAACCGUACCCCAAACCGACACAGGUGGUUGGGUAGAGAAUACCAAGGCGCUUGAGAGAACUCGGGUGAAGGAACUAGGCAAAAUGGCACCGUAACUUCGGGAGAAGGUGCGCCGGCCAGGGUGAAGCAUUUACUGCGUAAGCCCCGGCUGGUCGAAGAUACCAGGCCGCUGCGACUGUUUAUUAAAAACACAGCACUCUGCAAACACGAAAGUGGACGUAUAGGGUGUGACGCCUGCCCGGUGCCGGAAGGUUAAUUGAUGGGGUUAGCGCAAGCGAAGCUCUUGAUCGAAGCCCCGGUAAACGGCGGCCGUAACUAUAACGGUCCUAAGGUAGCGAAAUUCCUUGUCGGGUAAGUUCCGACCUGCACGAAUGGCGUAACGAUGGCGGCGCUGUCUCCACCCGAGACUCAGUGAAAUUGAAAUCGCUGUGAAGAUGCAGUGUAUCCGCGGCUAGACGGAAAGACCCCGUGAACCUUUACUAUAGCUUUGCACUGGACUUUGAGCUUGCUUGUGUAGGAUAGGUGGGAGGCUUUGAAGCGUGAACGCCAGUUUGCGUGGAGCCAUCCUUGAAAUACCACCCUGGCAACCUUGAGGUUCUAACUCAGGUCCGUCAUCCGGAUCGAGGACAGUGUAUGGUGGGUAGUUUGACUGGGGCGGUCUCCUCCCAAAGAGUAACGGAGGAGUACGAAGGUGCGCUCAGACCGGUCGGAAAUCGGUCGUAGAGUAUAAAGGCAAAAGCGCGCUUGACUGCGAGACCCACACGUCGAGCAGGUACGAAAGUAGGUCUUAGUGAUCCGGUGGUUCUGUAUGGAAGGGCCAUCGCUCAACGGAUAAAAGGUACUCCGGGGAUAACAGGCUGAUACCGCCCAAGAGUUCAUAUCGACGGCGGUGUUUGGCACCUCGAUGUCGGCUCAUCACAUCCUGGGGCUGAAGCCGGUCCCAAGGGUAUGGCUGUUCGCCAUUUAAAGUGGUACGCGAGCUGGGUUUAGAACGUCGUGAGACAGUUCGGUCCCUAUCUGCCGUGGACGUUUGAGAUUUGAGAGGGGCUGCUCCUAGUACGAGAGGACCGGAGUGGACGAACCUCUGGUGUUCCGGUUGUCACGCCAGUGGCAUUGCCGGGUAGCUAUGUUCGGAAGAGAUAACCGCUGAAAGCAUCUAAGCGGGAAACUUGCCUCAAGAUGAGAUCUCACUGGGAUCUUGAAUCCCCUAAAGGGCCGUCGAAGACUACGACGUUGAUAGGUGGGGUGUGUAAGCGCUGUGAGGCGUUGAGCUAACCCAUACUAAUUGCCCGUGAGGCUUGACCA
rnacentral:rRNA from 1 species